UCGGUGGUGGCGUUUCUGGACCCUUGCCAUGGAGGCGUCUAGCGAGCCUCCGCUGGAUGCUAAGGCCGAGGUUACCACCCAGCUUAUAGAUUUUCAGUGGAAACUGGGUAUGGCUGUGAGCUCGGACAGUUGCAGAUCUCUUAAGUAUCCUUACGUUGCAGUGAUGCUAAAAGUGGCAGAUCAUUCAGGCCACGUAAAGAAGUCCUUUGAAAUGACAAUUCCCCAGUUUCAGAAUUUCUACAGACAGUUCAAAGAAAUUGCUGCGAUUAUUGAAACUGUGUGAAAACUGAUUGCUAUCAUCAUUCUAAAAUCGUGGACUUCACUUUCUUCAACAGAACUGCAUAAGGAUCAAAUGAUAUUUAUUGAAUGAAAAUUGAACUUUUGUUUUUUCAUUUUUUUAAAUAAAAAAUCAGACA